UUUCAUGAUCACAAAUUUUACUGUGUAAGAAUUUAAUUAAGUAACUAAAGAUAUAUAGAUAUAUGAGCAGCUCUUCAUUCUUACACUGAAAACAAAGAGAAUGGAAUUUCAUUGCAAUGAAAAAAUAAAUGGUUGUAUAAUCUUUCUUUGGAAGUGAUUUACUUUUUCCACACUGCUCAGUGAGCCAUAUCUAAACAUGUUACAGUAAGAAUGGGUAUGCCAUAAAAAUUAAGAAUAUAGACUCUGGAAUAAGACUGAUUGGGUUUCAAUCUACUACUUAACUAGCCAUGAGACCUUGAAUGUAUUAUAUAAGAUCUCUUAGUCUCGGUUUCUUCAUGUGUAAAUGUGGAAAUUAGUACUUACCUCAUAGGGUCAUUAUGAGGAUUAGAAAAGAGACAGAUAAACCAUAUACAGUAUUUAGUAAAAUGACUGGCACUUAAGUGCUCUAAAAAUGUUAGCUGUUGUUAAUAACAGCUAUAAUAAUUAUAAUUAAUGAAGUAAAAGCCUCAUAUGAAUUGUAAUCACAGAUAACCUUUAUCACAGUAUAGAACCAGCAAUUAUGACAAUUCCCUCUCCCAAUCACAUAUUUCCUUUAUUUACUCCGAGUCUAAAUAUAACAAAUUUGUUGUAUUUUUAUGAAGAGGUUAGCCUGGUAGUUAACAUGAGUUCUCAGGUAGGCUGUCCAAGUUCAAAUACUGACUCUAUCACUUCCUAGCAUGUAACCAAAAGCAAGUGAUUUUACUUCUCUGUGCCUCAGUUUCUUCAUCUGUUAAGCAGCUGACAACAAUAAUUACCACCUACCCUAAAAAGUUUUUAGGCCCAUUACAUGAGUGUCUGUAUGUGCAUGCAGAAUUCACAAGGCUAUUCAACAUAUCAUGAGCACUAAAAAAUGCCAACAAAAAAAUACAAGGUUUAUAAACACUAUACAAAAAUACCAGUCCCCAUUUUUUUCCUGAAAUCAACCUCCUUGAUUUAUUAAUACCAAAAGAGAUACUUGUGUGGGAUAUAUUCAGACAAAAAAGAAAAGGCACAAGAAAAAAACAAACUAUGACUUGACUAAAAGUAACAUCUAGGUAAAUUCAUCCUGGCAAAAAGCCAUACUUAAUUCGGUUAAAAAGGGGUAUACCAAAGAAAUUCCAACUAACCAGAUGCCUCAAUUUAUAAAGAUCAAUCUUCUUCCCCAUCCUAACUCAAAAAUUUCCUUUCAAAGACACUGAGGACAAAGAAAUCAUUAACAACUUGUAUUUUAAGAACACAGCCUGCAGUUGAUACACCUGAAACCCUAUCUCAUCCUACUAUAGUUACAAUAUUACAAAAAAUUAAUCUUUCACUCUUAAAAGUAUUGUCCUUUGAAAUACUACAUUUAAGAAAAUGAAAUAUACUACCAAGUUAUCAAUAUAUUUAGACUAAUACGUUUAAAAAAAGGCUUACCAUGAAAUCAUGUUUAACAAAUUACCAAAUCAAUUAGAUAAAACUUUUGAAUAUUUCUAUUCCUCGCCCCAAAAAAUGAAAAAGCAAAAAGUUAAGUACAAGGCAAAACUGUGUAUAAAUCUCUGAAAUCUUAACAGUUCUACCAAAACGUUUUUCCCCAAUUGGUUAAAAGGGAUAAUUCACCAGACAAAAAAAAGAAAUUAUACCUGAAUGAUAGAAUUAAAUAACAAAAACAAAAACACCCCCACCAAAAUCUUGUUUUACUUAAUCUUGACUCAGCAUGCUUUGAUAAUGCAUGAAACACUAUAAUUAAAAUUCCAGAAGCUCCAGAACAAAUUUAAAUAUUUUUAUACUUAAAUUUCCAGUUCUCAGAAUUGGAACUUUAUUUUCCAUGAAUAUUCUAAUUAUCUUUAAAUAAUCCUAACUUGGUUCAAUUUAAUGUGGCAGAUAAAAUUACACUAGUGUUAGAGGAAAAACUUAAAUAUAAUAAUUAAGAACUCUAUUUCUUAGUCAAGUAGAUCACAAACCAUUUGGCUUUAGGCAAGUUGCUUAACCUCUGAGCAUCAAUUCUCUGAUCCAUAAAUUAAGGAUAUUAUCACUAUCUACUUCAUAGGGUAGACUACUGAAAUUUUUAUAAGACAAAAUGCACAUAAAGUGCUUAUUCCAGUGCCUGGCACAUAAGUACUUAUAAGUAAAUUCUAAAUGAUUAUCUUUCUUUUUUUUUAAUAAAACUUUUCAAAUCACAUGGAUAUCUAUAGUGAGUUCCCAAUUAUCAAAAUAAGAUUUUCCAUUUAACCAAUUCUAGAUUAGUAUUGUCAUUUCAAUAUCUUCAAGUUCAUUUUUUCAUAAAACACAAAUAUAACAUUAUUCAAAAAUAAAGAACAAAGAUAUUUCAGAAAAAUAAUAUUUUAUUUAAGCCACAAAAUAAAUGUCUUUGACUAGAAACCAAGAUGAGACUUUGUAUGAUUUUUUAGGUACAACUUUAAAACAAUUCUUUCUGUCAAAGUGCCACCAAAACCCCUUCCCAACUUCUUUCCUCAGGCUGUCACAACAUAGAUUUACAUAUCACAGCUUACUUUUACAUGGUAAAUGUUACUAUUUUUUUAAGAACUUACCAUACUGUAAAAAUCAAACAUAGAUGGAAAUAGUCAUCUAUUUAUUCCUAAGAGAUUAAUAAAGCAACAACCAAGAAAAAAGAAAACUAUUAAAGACACAAGAGUGAGAAGCAAAAAGAAUGUUUACUGGGUAUCUGCUGUGUUUAAAACACCUAUGCUUUAUCUAAAGUAUCACUCAACAGAAGGGAGAGGAGAUUGAGAGAAGUUAAGUAACCUGCUCAAGGUUGUACAACUUUAAGUACCCAAAGCACUAAAAAUAAAUGGUCAUGUAAAAGCAUAUACUCCCCCCACCACCACCAAAAAUGUAUAGGAACAUGGUUCACUCUUUUAAUACCUCAGCUGCUUCACUGGAGUUACGACUAUCAAAGGAAAAAUCUGAUUAGUUCAAUCAAUUUUAUUUUGUAAAUAUUUUUUAAGUCUAGUCUAACUUAGCAAUAAAACACAUUCUUUUGCCAAAAUACUGAGACUGAAAUGAUUUUUUAAAUAACAUAACUGAAAAAAACGUACACUACAAAUAGGGAAAAUGAUAGGGAAGUUUAUAGAGGCCAGCAAGGGCAUCAGACAUUAGUACAGUAUUUUAUAACCUUAUAUAUAUUUUGUAUCUUUAUAUAUUCUACUGUACAGAAGUUCUGGGAUCUUAAAUAAUGACUGGCUACUCCUUGGCAUUGCCUGAUUGGAGCUUCUAUUCAGACUUCAAAACUAACCACAAAAGUCACCAUCUCUUCUUCCCAUCCCCUGCAGACUGGAUCUUUACCUCCUUUCUUAAGACUCCCACAACCACACUUAAACCAUACUGCAUUUUAGUAAAGUAUCUACAUAUUUCUCUCAUCCACUAAAAUUUGAAUUUCUUGGCAUUGGAGGCUAUUAUAGUUUCUGUUGUCCCCCAGUCUAGGAAGACAUUCAAUAAAUGAAGACUGAAUGAAUGAACAAAAAGGAAACCCACAAUAUUACAGACUGAAAGAAUAGCUUAUAUGACUUAGAAAACAAUUUUAAAGACGCAGUUUUAAUACUGUCAGCUAUCUAAAAUAAUAAACUAUUCAAUUACAAAGUAUUUUCCACUAUAGGCUUUUUUACUUAAAAGAUUCCUUUGAAAUUGGCAUUAUGUACAAUCCUACUUACAAACUAAUGAUUCAAGAGCGUAUGAAGUUUCUUAACUGAAGUAAAACAUCUCAGUACAGUAUUAUUUGAAGAAAUGACUAACCAGGAGAUUGUCUCAUCACUGUCAGAUUAUGUAAACAAUUUACCAAAGUGUAACUGCAGUAUUGCAGUUCCUAACAGAAUUACCAAAAAAAGAUUUUAUUGCAUUUACUAAUAAAGACAAUAUUAAAACAGUCACAACAACAAAAAAA